rnacentral:rRNA from 1 species
AUACGGAGGCUGCAAGCGUUACUCGGAAUCACUGGGCGUAAAGCGCGCGCAGGCGGUCUUUUAAGUUGGAUGUGAAAGCCUACGGCUCAACCGUAGAACUGCAUCCAAAACUAUUUAGCUAGAGUGUGGGAGAGGAAGAUGGAAUUAGUUGUGUAGGGGUAAAAUCCGUAGAGAUAACUAGGAAUACCAAAAGCGAAGGCAAUCUUCUGGAACACUACUGACGCUGAGGCGCGAAAGCGUGGGGAGCAAACAGGAUUAGAAACCCUAGUAGUCC